GAGAAAUCAAAACACUGGUGUGUGUCUCCUCUUCCUGACCAAGUCUUGCCAGAGUGUCAUAAGAGAGGCUGUGUAUGCAAACAGCCCAGCCCAGCUGAUGUCCAAGCAGUCAGCUCUCCGGGUCGUUUUACUUCAUUCCUGAAGAAAUGCACAUCUGCGGCUGACAAUUAAACAAGCAAACAACAAGGUUAUUUUAUCACAGCAACUUAUUUGACAUGAGAAAUAAUGUCGAGAAAAACAAUUGCCCUCAAAGGAAACAGAUUGCAAGCAGCAAGUCCCUUCCUCAGUCUCUUAAUAGCUCCAUGGGUGAUGAAGAUUUUAAUGCCUUUGGUGAAAAAAUCAAGUACAAAGUUCAAGGCCUGAAGAAUGUGUGGCUUGCUCAGCUACCCAGCUAAAUCCGAUUCUACUCUCUUGAUGGAGAGAGUGACAGAUAUCACAGCUUCACUCAUUUGAAGCAAGUAUGCUUCAGGAUUGACAGAAACAAGGAUUCUAAGAUGACAUAAUGCCCAAUGACCUACUCCUUGUCCUUCCUGGAUCUGGCAGAAUCCUGUGACCAGGAUGAAAGAUCGCUCCUUGAUUAUAUUACCUUAUAUGGCAAAUAAACUUACUGAUGCUGUCAUGGUAACAACUUAUCCUACAGCAGAGGUUCUUAACCUUA